CUGUGUUCAUUACUUUUCUGUUCUGUGAUAAAACACUGUGACCCAAAGCAUCCUCCAAAAGGGCACUUGCUUUGGCUUAGUUGUCCAGAGUCAGGAGUCUGGAAUGGUAGGGGAGGCGUGGCAUCAGGCAGCCGGAUCAGGAAGAAGAGCAGUCCAUCUUCAAGAAAGCAGAGUGGCCAAGGCUAUGAACUCCCAAAGCCGGCCCCCACUGACAUACUUCCUCCAGCUAGGCUCCACCUCCUGAAGGUUUCAUAACCUUCCUAAACAGUGCCAUCAACUGAGGACCAAGUGUUCAAAUGCCUGAGCCCAUGAGGACGUUGGCCUGAGGUGGAUUUACAAGGUGAUGAACUUCCUUCAGUAUUAAUGUGGUGGUACUCAGAAGCUGUCCUGAGUAGAGGGAGCAGAUGGCCAGGAGCAUUCUUCUUGACCAGUCUCCCAGGCCAAAACCUUCACCUCUAGGGCUGACCAGGCAGAAGGUGCCAACACUACUCUCUGACCUUCUCAGCAAGUGUUUAGGGCACAAGGAGGACACCAGCCAAGUCACAGGAACAGUGGAGUCCCAGCAUCAGAAACACUCCUGACCUCUGCUCCAAACCUUUGGGCUCAAGGUCACCCCUGCUGAGCAUCAGGGACACCAUGAGGACUCUGGAUUCGAAUCCUGCCCUAAUGGUGCUUUGUGUGGUUCUCGGGAAGUUACAAGUGCGAUUAGCAUACAUUUCUUACUCCGAAAAUGUGAAACUUGUAACAUCCACUUUGUGUGUGCAUGUGUAUACACCUGUGUCGCCGCCAGAGGUCAACUCCAACUGCGGUUUUCAGGUGCCAUCUUCUCUUUUUGUCUGUUUGAAAAAGGGUCAUUGCUUUGCUGGAGCUCACUGAUUUGCCUAGUCUGGCUGGCCAGAGUCCUAGGAUCCUCCUGCCUCUCCCACUCCAGCACCAUGAUUACAAGCACAUGUCACUACACCAGGCUUGACUUUUUUCAGUUCUAGCCAUUGAAUCAAGUCUGCUUGCUCCCAAAACAAGCACUUUACUGAGUGUACUAUCUCCCCAGCCCAACCUGGUUCUUUUUUUUUAAAGUAUCAUUAAUAUUUUCUAGUUAUAUGUGUGUAUAUAUGGGGGUACGUAAAUGUGAGCACAGGUGC
rnacentral:lncRNA from 1 species